GACGAACCGAGCGAACGUUGUUCGGAAUCACUGGGCUUAAAGGGCGCGUAGGCGGGCUGUCAAGUCUGGGGUGAAAUCCCGCGGCCCAACCGUGGAACUGCCUCAGAUACUGACGGCCUCGAGGGAGGUAGGGGCGAGCGGAACUAAUGGUGGAGCGGUGAAAUGCGUUGAUAUCAUUAGGAACUCCGGUGGCGAAGGCGGCUCGCUGGACCUUUUCUGACGCUGAGGCGCGAAAGCUAGGGGAGCAAACGGG
rnacentral:rRNA from 1 species